rnacentral:lncRNA from 14 species
GGGCGGGCGGCGGCUCGGCCGCUCGCGGGCUGGCGCGGAGCGGAGCGGCCGUCGGCCACGGCGGAGCGAUGAUCCGCCGGGAAGCCGAGGAGGAGCUGGAAGGCUGGGCGAGCUGGGACACCAGGUGGCACGUACCCGAGCAGACACUGGCCCCCUUGUCUGAUGACCUGAAUUCUCGAGAGCCCUGUGAUGAGCAAGGUCAUCCUUUCUGC